GGGAAUAUUGCACAAUGGGCGCAAGCCUGAUGCAGCGACGCCGCGUGGGGGAUGACGGCCUUCGGGUUGUAAACUCCUUUCGCUAGGGACGAAGCUUUUUGUGACGGUACCUAGAUAAGAAGCACCGGCUAACUACGUGCCAGCAGCCGCGGUAAUACGUAGGGUGCGAGCGUUGUCCGGAAUUACUGGGCGUAAAGGGCUCGUAGGUGGUUUGUCGCGUCGUCUGUGAAAUUCCGGGGCUUAACUCCGGGCGUGCAGGCGAUACGGGCAUAACUUGAGUACUGUAGGGGUAACUGGAAUUCCUGGUGUAGCGGUGAAAUGCGCAGAUAUCAGGAGGAACACCGAUGGCGAAGGCAGGUUACUGGGCAGUUACUGACGCUGAGGAGCGAAAGCAUGGGUAGCGA
rnacentral:rRNA from 1 species